AGUGAACGCUGGCGGUAGGCCUAACACAUGCAAGUCGAACGGCAGCACUGUAAGAGCUUGCUCUUACGGGUGGCGAGUGGCGGACGGGUGAGGAAUACAUCGGAAUCUACUUUUUCGUGGGGGAUAACGUAGGGAAACUUACGCUAAUACCGCAUACGACCUACGGGUGAAAGCAGGGGAUCUUCGGACCUUGCGCGAUUGAAUGAGCCGAUGUCGGAUUAGCUAGUUGGCGGGGUAAAGGCCCACCAAGGCGACGAUCCGUAGCUGGUCUGAGAGGAUGAUCAGCCACACUGGAACUGAGACACGGUCCAGACUCCUACGGGAGGCAGCAGUGGGGAAUAUUGGACAAUGGGCGCAAGCCUGAUCCAGCCAUACCGCGUGGGUGAAGAAGGCCUUCGGGUUGUAAAGCCCUUUUGCUGGGAAAGAAAAGCAGCAGGUUAAUACCCCGCUGUUCUGACGGUACCCAAAGAAUAAGCACCGGCUAACUUCGUG
rnacentral:rRNA from 1 species